GGAGGAAUGAAUGUGAAUGAAUUGCGAAGUCGAUAAAAGCUGGGGUUUCGGUUAUGCUACUCGUAACAUGGGGAACAAAAGAAGGUGCUGUAAUCUCAACGUUGAUUGGGUUAUUGGAGUUUAUGUUUAAUAUUUAUACAAGAGUUUAAAAGCUGAGUUGUUUGCAGAUAUCGUUUUGAUGUAAAAAUAUCUUUACUCUUUUGGUGCAGAAAUAGGAAGAUAUGUACUUUCUUUGUGGAAUUACUAGUGUUAGAAUGUAUAGUUAACAAAGAAAUUGUAAGGGUUUUUUUAGAGAGUUCGUGGUCAACUAGUAAGAACAUGUGAGACUACGAGAUGUAUGGUAGUGUGUUAUGAUUUCCAUGAGAUUUGCACCAGGCAAUAUCAACAGGUUCUGAACUGCACUAGGCGCAGCAAAACAUGUUCGGUUUGGCGAGAUGGGCUAAGUUUUACCGAUCACUUUCAAAAGAGGGGUGGGUCGAGCUGACUCGUUUUUUAGCAGGUUGAUGGCGGGAAGGGACGGGACGAGUCAGUGUCAAGCCAGUGAGCCAACCCGCCUUGCCCGUCAAAUGGGACGGGCCGAGUUUUUCAGCUCAUUCUCAAAAGUAGAGCAAGAAGGACUGUCUAGUUUCUUGACGGAUUGAUAGCGGGACGAAACAGACUGCACUCUUUGCCACCUCUACUUAGCACCAAGGAAUAUUUUAGAUGCUAAAGGCUAUUAGCGCUCGAUUCCAAAAAGAAUCCUUUGGAGAGAUUCAAACUAUUCGUGGAAUCGUGGUUAUCACGCUUGAUUGCUACUACCUUCAAUGUGAACUUCCGUUAGUUCGGUAAAAAUGAGAAAAUUGAAGAACCCGUGUGGGUUAAAAGGCUAUAUGUAAGAGAAUAUGGCCACUUGGCUGCAUUAAGAGGAUACUUGCAGUUAUGUGUCUAUCAAGCAAUGAAGUUGUGAAGAGAGGGAUCCUACAAUGCCCACCUAUCAAGCUAUGAAUUUGUGAAGAGAGCUAGGGAGGGGAUCCUAGAAUGCCGUAUCUAUCAAGAUAAGUAGAAGAGAAGGGUCCUACAAGAUGCACAAUACGUUUCAGAUAACUGCAGCUAUAAGAAGAAAAGAAUGACAUGGGAAAAUGAACUGAGUUAAGGAAACUGUCUUUAUAUUGCAUGAGACCUGGUAGGUCUCACCUAUUGCUGAAAUUUGAUUGGCUGUUUAUGAUAAAUAGUACAUAUUUAAAUAUUUUUGUAACGAGAGAAGAUUCACAACUAGGAAUUUAAAUAGGCUAUUGUAGGCUAGACUUUAAUUUAAAUAAAUUAGGCAUGUGUAAAAGUUCUCAAGAUUGGCCUGACUUUUUAGCAUGCGUAGGUCAUAUUACAAGUCUGGU